rnacentral:rRNA from 1 species
AGUCGACGGAUCCUUCGGGAUUAGUGGCGGACGGGUGAGUAACGCGUGGGAACAUACCCUUUGGUACGGAAUAGCCUCGGGAAACUGGGAGUAAUACCGUAUGUGCCCUUCGGGGGAAAGAUUUAUCGCCAAAGGAUUGGCCCGCGUUGGAUUAGGUAGUUGGUGGGGUAAUGGCCUACCAAGCCGACGAUCCAUAGCUGGUUUGAGAGGAUGAUCAGCCACACUGGGACUGAGACACGGCCCAGACUCCUACGGGAGGCAGCAGUGGGGAAUAUUGGACAAUGGGCGCAAGCCUGAUCCAGCCAUGCCGCGUGUGUGAUGACGGCCUUAGGGUUGUAAAGCACUUUCAACGGUGAAGAUAAUGACGGUAACCGUAGAAGAAGCCCCGGCCAACUUCGUGCCAGCAGCCGCGGUAAUACGAAGGGGGCUAGCGUUGUUCGGAAUAACUGGGCGUAAAGCGCACGUAGGCGGAUUGUUAAGUUAGAGGUGAAAUCCCAGGGCUCAACCCUGGAACUGCCUUUGAUACUGGCAAUCUUGAGUUCGAGAGAGGUGAGUGGAAUUCCGAGUGUAGAGGUGAAAUUCGUAGAUAUUCGGAGGAACACCAGUGGCGAAGGCGGCUCACUGGCUCGAUACUGACGCUGAGGUGCGAAAGCGUGGGUAGCAAACAGGAUUAGAUACCCUGGUAGUCCACGCCGUANACGAUGGAAGCUAGCCGUCAGGUUGUUUACAACUUGGUGGCGCAGUUAACGCAUUAAGCUUCCCGCCCUGGGAGUACGGUCGNCAGAUUAAAACUCAAAGGAAUUUGACGGGGGCCCGCACAAGCGG